UACGAAGGGUGCAAGCGUUGUUCGGAAUUACUGGGCGUAAAGCGCGCGUAGGCGGUUUGGUAAGUUGGAAGUGAAAUCCCGGGGCUUAACCUCGGAAUUGCUUUCAAAACUGCCAAGCUAGAGUAUGGUAGGGGGCAGUGGAAUUCCUAGUGUAGAGGUGAAAUUCGUAGAUAUUAGGAGGAACACCAGUGGCGAAAGCGACUGCCUGGGCCAUUACUGACGCUGAGGCGCGAAAGCGUGGGGAGCAAACAGG
rnacentral:rRNA from 1 species